rnacentral:sRNA from 1 species
GUCGCCGGCGGCGGUGACUAGCCGCACCGCGACCAGGUUGUCGCAGCUCAGUCCGAAACGUCGGAGUCGUCCAACCCA